GCUCCCAUGGUGUAGUGGUCACUGCACUCGCCUUGCACGCGGGAGACCCGGGUUCGAUUUCCGGCGGGGUCA
rnacentral:tRNA from 1 species